rnacentral:lncRNA from 1 species
CUUUGCAUCUUUCAUCACAUGAUUGUUGCAAACACAAUAAUAUUUAUAUGAACCCCAUUACAUCUAACAAUUUUGACCCAAGAGAGGUAGUUGUCCUUGAGACUCUUCGGCUCUCAACUGUCCAAAAAAAAAAAAAGGUAUGUUCUUGAAGCUAUAUAAAACACAUAGCCUCAUGCUAUGGUUUGUAACACUUUGGUCACACAAAAAAAGGCCUUUAAACUUUACUUGCUACUUUCUCCGGAUUAUUUUAUAUUUUGUGUUGUAUGGAAGUGAAUAUUAUUUUUGUAGUUAUUUUUUCUUAAGAAAAACGUUAUUCACACUCCUUAAGAAGCUUCGUAAUAUGCUUAUGGGAUAGUAGUUUUAUAUGAACUUCUUCCGAAUAAGAAAUUUCUUAGUAGUUUAAAAUAAGAUUGCAUUUUUAAAAAAAUAAUAAUAAUGACAAAAGAAUCUUUCUUCUUACUAAGUAAACAAGCUCAUGCAUUUUCGUAACUCAAAAUGACACACACACACCAAGCAAAGCUUUAAUGUCCCUGCCGGAGCAGAGUAGGUGAAAUCUGCCACAUGUAAAGUCGGAGUUUUGCAGACAACAAGAUCCAACGAAUUGUAUGUGUCCACGUGUCAAAUAUAUGAACAUUACAAAAAGGAAAAUUAAAACACACAAAAAUAAUUUUCCUACACAUGUGUGGGUACUAAUGCUUUGUUUGUAUGCAAUGGUAUAUUAAGAAAAUAAGGGCUCAUUUGAGACUGUUUCUCUAAGAAGUAUUUAUGCUCAUAAGUGUUUCUGGUAAAAAUGCUUUUAUUAUAAAAAUGUUGAAAUCUUCAUAAGAAAUCAAAGUGUUUUUUGAAAAAACACAUGUUAGGUGUUUCUCUAAAAAGAGUUUCUAAACUUUUUUGCCAAAUACUAUCAGAUAUGCUUGUGGUUGGCUGAAAGAGCUUUUAUCCCUUACAAAAGCACUCCCAAACAACCACAAGAUGUGGUGCUGUUGGCAAACUGCCACCUCCAGUUGGCGAGCUACUUGGUGCCUCAAUGACAAGGAUUCAAAACCCGUUGGAAGCAUUUUGUGGCGAGGGACAAGUCGAACUCUGAGCGGGGAUUGAUCACACCUUUCGUGUAUGAAGACACCUCGUAGUAUUUACCCAAAAAGCCCUCCCAAACAAUACAACAAUAAAAAUGCAAGGAAAUAAAUACAAAAUGUCAUAAAGAAAUGGAAGUAAAGGUGGAGAAAGUGACCGGCCCUUUUGUUUCUUCUUAUAUUGUAAUCGAUGAAAAGUGUGAGAGGCGCCGCUUCAAUAAGAGGAAGAGGAAAGAAUUGCAUUUUGUGCAUUUUCCCCAUUUCUAUAUAUUAUUCUGCAACAAUAAAAGAAUACUAAAAUAUCAUUUCCUUUAGUCUUUAUGAUCUCCUGGUUUAUGGGUAUGGGCCUAUUGCUAUAUGGUCCACAUUAUUAUUAUUAUUCUGAGAAAUGGCCCACAUUAAUUUAAGAAUUGAGUUUUAGAAAGUUGGUAGCUUUUGUAGCUUCUUCU